UUCUUUUAAGAUAUAUUUCCAGGGGAGACAGAGUAAGAUGGCUCCACCAAUUGUUCCCCCGACAAGGACACCAAUUUAACAAUCAUCUACACAGAAAAAACACCCUCGUAAGGAUAAAAAUCAAUACAUUUGCUCUUGGAUCCCAUCCACCACGCUGUGAGGAAGCCAAAUUACCUCAUGAAGAUGCCCUCAAGGAGCUGAACCAAAGGCUCUGGCCCAUAGCCUUACGGAUCUCCAAGUUGAAAGUCAGCACCAACCUGCUAGUCAUAAGAGUGAGUCAUCUUGACAGUAGAUCCUCCAGCCUCCAACAGAUGCCCUGUGGAGCAGAGAGGAGUCAUUCCUAUCAAACCCUGAAAAAUUCUAGAUCUCUAAUAAAAUAAAUUAUUGAUACUAUCUGA